GCCAUCGUGGCCGAGUGGUCUAAGGCGGUAGAUUUAAGUCUGGUCAUGACACAAAACUCUACUGGGGAGACCCGCGCGCGUUCGAACCGCGUCGAUGGCA
rnacentral:tRNA from 1 species